ensembl:lncRNA
UGUCCGAUGCCGAGGCGGUGCCUGAUGCGGUGGCUGAGGCGGUUCCCGAUGCAAUGUCCGAUGCCGAGGCGGUGCCCGAUGCCGAGGCGGUGCCUGAUGCGGUGGCCGAGGCGGUUCCCGAUGCAAUGUCCGAUGCCGAGGCAGUGCCCGAUGCCGAGGCGGUGCCCGAGGCGGUGCCCAUUGCCGAGGCGGUGCCAGAGGCGGUGCCCGAUGCCGAGGCAGUGCCCGAUGCCGAGGCGGUGCCCGAUGCGGUGCCAGAGACGGUGCCAGAGACGGUUCCCGAUGUAAUGCCCGAGACCGAGGCUGUUCCGGAGGUCGAGGCGGUGCCCGAUGUUGUUCCCGAUGCCGAGGCGGUGCCCGAUGUUGUUUCCGAUGCCGAGGCUGUGCCCGAUGCAGAGGCCGUUCCCGAGGCGGUGCCCGAUGCCGAGGCCGUUCCCGAGGCGGUGCCCGAUGCCGAGCCCAAGGUCGUGCCCGAGGUCGUUCCCGAGGCGGCGUCCUUGUCCGAUGCCAUUCCUGAGGCCAUUCCCGAGGCGGUGCCCGAUGCUGUUCCGGAGGCCGAUGCGGGGCCCGAGAGGGUUCCGGAGGCGAUACCCGUGUCCAAGGCCGUUCCCGAGGCGGUGCCCUUGUCUGAGGCCGUUCCCGAUGCCGUUCCCAAUGCCGUGACCUGGCCAUCGCCACAGCCUGCUCCUUACUGGCUCCCCGAUUGGCAGGUUCCGUUCGGGCCACUCAAAUGGCGAAUUCCUCCCUGGCCGUCUGCACAACGAGAAUGGACUGAUCCACCGUGGCCACCUGAACUGCCUGGUCCCUCGUGGUACCCUGAACUUUCGGGUCCACCCUGGCCACCUGAACUGCCUGGUCCCUCGUGGUCCCCUGAACUUUCGGGUCCACCCUGGCCACCUGAACUGUCUGGUCCCUCGUGGUCCCCUGAACUUUUGGGUCAACCCUGGCCCCCUGAACUGUCUGAUCCACCUUGGCUGCCGGUGGAGCCAUUACGGCCGGUCCCUGUUCUCCUACACGGGCCUGGCCCGCCAUCCCUCCCCCUGUUCUACCUCCACCAGUCCACCUCCCUCCUGGUCUUUUUGAUUUGUUUUUUUUUUGAUCUGGGGAGCAUCUGGAAGCUGCUCCUUAGAGGGGGGGCUAAUGUCACAGUGUCUGUUCUGUGUCUCCCUGGGUGGCCACUAGAGGUCUCACUUCCCCUGAUUGUCACCCCCUUCUGAACUACAUUUCCCACUAGCCUUAUCUGUUCAUCACUGUUCAUUGUGUUCAGCUGUCACCACUUACCUUGUUUGCACCUGUCUAUAAAUACCCUGGUUGUUUCUGUCAUUGUUACGGAGUCCUUGUUGCAUGUCACCCUGCUUUUUCCUGGUUCCCUAGUGGAUGUUCGUGUUUCGUGUUUUGGACUGUUUAUGUUUGGUUUUGACCCCUGCCUGGACUGUUUAUGAUUUUGGAUUACCCUUUAAUAAACACUGCAUUUGGAUCUACCUG